rnacentral:lncRNA from 1 species
CGCUAGAGACUCUGCCUCCUAAGAGACACGUUAAGCUGACUCUGUGUCUCUGUCAUUCAUCUUCACUCCCCAGCUGUGCUGUCCUCUACAUGGGAUUUCUUCUCAGGGAGGCUCAUCCCCUGAGCUGGACAGCUCCCAGCUGACUGCCUCCCUGCUCAGUGGCAGCAGCAGAAAGACAGAAUGAAAAAAUCUUUAAAAUCACAAGGAAGGCGGCGGCAGAGGUGAUGGCGGCAGCAGCACCACCUGAGAACAGAGCUGGGCCCGGGCAUGGUGGCGCGUUCUGCACUGUGAGAGCGCAGCGGCCGCUGGAUCGCCAUGCGCCAGCGGCUCCAAAGCUCGGGCCUUUGGCCCUUCGCCUCGGCGACGGGAGGCAGCGUCCCGGAGACGAGACUGCGGGCGCUGAGCAAGCCUUGGGCAUCGUGAGGCUGGAUCUCCCCCGCAGCCACGUGGAUUUCCCUGUGAUCCUCUAUGAGCUGUGAGCCUGGUGGGUGAAGACACAAGCACCCCCUCUGACCCAGCAAGAAACUUCCUGUCACAAGGUGUAGCUUCCAUUGAGCACCCCAGGCUGGGGCCACAGCCCUUCGUGAACUCUGUUGGCCCAGAACCUUCAGCUGUAAGCAGGGCAGCCCUCGGUAUAAAUCGGGUAUUGGUUUGUGUGUGGACAAGAGAGGUUUGGUGUCUGGCAAAGGCUAACGGGAGAGUUACCAGCAGAGCUUUCCCAGCCACAGGGCAUCUGCCAGUCAGGAAUGUGUGGUUCCUGGUUCCUUGCCUGGCUGGUCUGCUUUCUUCCAAGCUUGCCUAGGGCCCAGCCUCACUAAAAGCUACAGCACUUUCCAUGCAAAAUCUGCCUUCUUCCAGCCCCUGGACUUUGGGAGCUCUACACAAGUGGGAACUUCCUUUCCCUCACUUCCUUUACCCCCUAGUCAGAGCAUUUCAGCCAUUUCUACCUCUAUACUUCCUGAUUGGACAGAGGCUGAGGACAGCACCCACCUGAUGCUUCCCACCUACCUGCCAUUUGUUCCCACUUUCACAUGGACAGUUUGCUGGCUGUUAACUGGAAUGAGGACUGGUAUGGGUAGCUUCUCCUUUUCCCAGGGCUUGGCUAAUUGCUCCCCAGUGCAACUAGUUAUUGCCCUCUCCUCAGUUAAGAGGUACAGGCCAGAGUCAGAACAGGCUAUGGGCGUCUGUGCCUAUGGGAAGUUGCCCCAAGCCUAUUCUAACCGCCUCCCCCCUUGCCUUUGCACCAGCCAUUCCCCCUACUAUCCAGUUGGGAGGGUCCACUACCCUGUGAUGAAGACCAACAUACUAGGGCUGGUGCCUGUAGCGCUAUGAGGAGACCACCACUCUUCUGCCACAAUAUCUUCACCCCUUCUGGAUCAGUCAAGGGAAAGUACUAGGGCCCCUUGAAAAGCACAGAAAGGAGGGCAAAAACAUAAAAGGGAAUACUGUACUUAAAGUGUGAAGAUUUGUAAAUAGUCUAGUCCAUGCUGAUGUUAGGGCAGAGUCUGAUUUCUACACAGAAAUGACUUUCUUUUUCUUUUAAUUUCUUAUUGUGCAAGUUCUAUGCUUCUAGCAUGGGACAUGGCUUGGGGAUGAUGCUCCCCAGUAUAGGAAGAUUGUUGUGCUAUUUGUUCGAUUUCAAUAAAAUUAUUUGUAGAUCCUGUAAAAAAAUAAAAUCAGAAGGAAAAAAAUUGUUUAAAGUUGCCAUGGCUACCAAGUGAAAAGUGCAACAUUCUGUAGCAAAUUCUGCAAACUGUAAGAUUUCAUUAUUAAAUACUUUGUUUUCAAUAAAAAACUGAUGUUAAUGUUUAUAAAAUAAUUGAAGAAAUGUUCAAAGUGCUCAUUGUCACUCCUUGUGUUUGAGAAAGAAGUACAGCAGUGAAAUUGUUUUGGAAAAUAUAAAAGUUGUUGGUGAUUUGGUUUUAAGUUGUUAUCUCUUACAUCUUCACGUCACUCAGUAAGCUUUUCUGCUCUCUGUCAACCUUAAAAUGCAUAAACAUCACAAAUAUGAGAAAUAUAUAUCUUAUUUUGAAUAAAAAUUAGUAUUGCAAAAAUUAGUGUUGGGCAUUUUUUUAUAUUAUUCUAUCACACAGUGGCAGAGCAGUCUAGUUUGUCUCUGCACAUGCAAGUGUCUUACUAACAUUCAAACAAUGAAUUUACUGAGUUUCCUAAGUACACACUCUCCCCACAUCUCACCCUCCCCCAGAUCCUUUAAUAUCCUCCCCCUGGCCUAGGCCAUCCUGACUUCUGUUUUCCUACCUGGGCCUGGCCCUGAUGUCCCCUUUCUGCCACCAAGUUCCUGUGCAAUGGCCUUGUCACUCACAGCUUCUCAAACAGAACAAGCUCAGCCUGAUUCCACCUCUGCACAUGGCUGCAGCCUAUGGGAUUUUCCUUAGUCCCAAGAAAGCACAGUAUCCUCCGCACCUCUGGUCUUUUGCACAUACCGUUUCUGUCACCAGGAACACUCUUCCCCUCCUAUCACCUGCAGUCACCUGACUAAAUUCCUACUCAUCCCCAGCCUCUUCCCUCUAUUCCAAGCUCUAAGCCCCAAAACCCCUGCUUCCUGGCAUCAAUCUCUUAACCUUCUCAGAACCAAAUUUCCCUUUCCAGCAUUUUGCACACUCCCAAUUAUUGAAGGACCUUUUUUUUUUUUACUCUUGGAAAGUCUGAUUUCCCUUCUACACAGUAAUUUCUAUGAACAUGAGUCUGCAUGUGGGCUCUGGCAUGUUGCUGCAAACAAAUACUAGCUGACAGGACAGUGGUUUGUAAACCACGUGGCCCUGGGCUGGAAUCGUCCUCUGAGGUCUGUUUAACCACUUCGCCUGAGCUGACUUUCCUCUGUCAUGGUGUCUGCAGGCUUUGCAACAUGAUACUCUGUGGGGAGGACAGAGGAGGUGCAAGCUCACUCCCUCUGUUGGAGGAACAGGACCAGUCUCAUCCACCUGCUGCACACUCAUCAUUGAUGGCACUAAAAACCCUUCUCCAGUGCCGCCCGACUCUGCCUGGGCCACCAAGGGAAGAGAAGGAACAUGGAGGGGACCCUGAGCCUCAGUGAGAUCUGAGUGGGGAGGAGCGGAGGUCCCAUCGAGAGCAGAGCAAUCAGGAAGGAACCUCAUCAAGUGCCGUUCAGGUGGCAGAGGCGUCCCUUCCUCCCUUCAAGGAUUCAACCAAAAGUCACACAGACACAGAGAUGGAACCUUUGCCAACAGACGUAGAGAAGGGAGCUCAGGAGUCCUCGUUCUUCGGGUCUCAGGCAUUUGAACAAUUUCCAAAAUGAUGGCACCUUCUCCACUAAUGGAAGAAACAAAAAUACACUUCAGUUGCUUUCUUCUGAUCAAAAAAGGUGGGCCAGUUUCAAAAAAGCCUGUCAUAGGCAUUGCACUCAGGAGCAAUCUCUGGGCUCCUGAUCGUCCCAUCAAGCUGGAUGGCCGGGUAAUUGGGACCAUUAGUGUCACAGCAGCAUCAGGACCCCUGGCUUCUGACAACAUCAACGAGCAUCUAUCUCGGAGGCUCAGCACAGCGCUGGCUGGAACAGGAGCUGUAAUUGGAGGGUCCCAGCCCCUCCCCAGCGCUGCUGCUAUUGGAAAAACCAACUUGGUCACACCAGCCACAGCCUCCAAAGCCACCCAGAAAGCGGUGGCAGGGUGAGGUCUGCGACUCCCCAACCACGUCACUCUGUCUGGAAUUUGGGUUCUUUAAGGUUCCCAGGGUCCAGCACAGUAGCCCAAGUGAGGACCACCAAGACAUGGAACAUAUUCAGAAGGGCCGACCGUGCAGGGUGCCACAGGGAGCUUACAGUCCCCAGGAGAAGUGACAAGUGACAGCCUGAGAAAACAAAUGUAGCAGAUGCUGUUGGGCCCACCAAGGCCCUUGGUCAUCACUACUUUGUCCUGCAGUGGCUUCUCGCUCCCCCCUUUACCUGGGGUCUUCCCCAGGUGCAGGACCUGUGUGACCAGGAACUGGCCUCCCAGGAAGCAGCCCCAGGGCAGGCCCGGCUCCCCACCCUCCAGCACAUCCCCUUGAGGUCCCCCAGAGCCCUGCCAUGGCCAUCUGCCUAUCGUCUUACCAGGACGGGACCUUUUUCUUCCAUCUCACUUCCUGCUCUCCCAGAGCCUUCUGGGACCACCUCAGAUAACUGAACUCACACCGGGUCUCAGGUUGGCUUUUGGAAGAAUCCAACCCAAGGCCCCAUGUAAAGCAUGCAGGAGGUCAGAGGGCAGGAAGGACUCCGGGGAAGGACAGAGGUAGAAGGUUGGGCUGGUGUAGGUGCUGGGACAGUUCGCAGAAGGGCAGAGCAGCCUCCCCAGAGGCGGGUGUUGGUUGAAGCAAAUGCCCAGUUGGCGAGAGGGCAGAGCAGGUAUGGAGAUCAAGAGACAGAGAGCACCCCACCCACCCUGGGAAGAGCAGGGCCCACAUGGCUGAGCCAGAGGGCCUGCUCUCCAGGAGUCGGACAGAACAGGAAAGAAGCAGGAGACAGAUUCUGAGGCGAGGUGGAAGGGGCCUGACCCCGGAGUGCCUUCGGACCGGCCAGCAAGAAAUGUCAAGGCUCAGUGCAGGGGCGUGGCUGACCUGGUGCCAUAUAAAAGAUGGGCCUGUUGCAGUGGAGGACAGAGCAAGGACACCAGGAGAGCUGUCUCUUAACACCCCUCAGAGAGAGUGGAGCUGAGAUGGCAGGGGUGAGGGAGAAAGGAGCCAGCAGGUGUGGGCAGAGCACCUCCGAAGGGGGCCACACCAGUACUUAGGGGAUUGCAGAGGGGAGGGAGCAGGAGAACCCCAAGACCUAUAGACAUGGAGAGAUGCAGAACACAGCUGAACAUGCAAACCCA